rnacentral:rRNA from 1 species
UGACACAGGGAGGUAGUGACAAGAAAUAACAAUACAGGGCUACUUCUAGUCUUGUAAUUGGAAUGAGUACAACUUACAUCUCUUCACGAGGAUCAAUUGGAGGGCAAGUCUGGUGCCAGCAGCCGCGGUAAUUCCAGCUCCAAUAGCGUAUAUUAAAGUUGUUGCAGUUAAAAAGCUCGUAGUCGGAUUUCGGGGCGGGGCGAGCGGUCUGCCGAUGGGUAUGCACUGUUCGGCGCGUCCUUCUUUCCGGAGACCGGUCCUACUCUUAGCUGAGCGGGGUCGGGAGACGGAAUUUUUACUUUGAAAAAAUCAGAGUGUUUAACGCGGGCAUCUCGCUUUUGAAUGGAUUAGCAUGGGAUAAUGAAAUAGGACUCGGGUGCUAUUUUGUUGGUUUCGACC